UACGUAGGGGGCAAGCGUUGUCCGGAUUUACUGGGCGUAACGGGCUCGUAGGCGGCCAACUAAGUCAGACGUGAAAUCCCUCGGCUUAACCGGGGAACUGCGUCUGAUACUGGAUGGCUUGAAUCCGGGAGAGGGAUGCGGAAUUCCAGGUGUAGCGGUGAAAUGCGUAGAUAUCAGGAGGAACACCGGUGGCGAAGGCGGGUCUCUGGGCCGAUACUGACGCUGAGGAGCGAAAGCGUGGGGAGCGAACAGG
rnacentral:rRNA from 1 species